CCCGCUCAGAAACUCAAAGGAAUUGACGGGGCCCGCACAAGCGGAGGAGCAUGUGGUUAAUUCGAUGAUACGCGAGGAACCUUACCUGGGCUCGAACGUAAGAUGACUGUAGGUGAAAGCUUACAUCUCUUCGGAGCAUUUUACGAGGUGCUGCAUGGUUGUCGUCAGCUCGUGCCGUGAGGUGUCGGGUUAAGUCCCAUAACGAGCGCAACCCUACCUUUAGUUGCCAUCAGGUAAUGCUGGGGACUCUAAAGGAACUGCCUACGCAAGUAGUGAGGAAGCGGGGAUGACGUCAAAUCAGCACGGCCCUUACGUCCAGGGCUACACACGUGCUACAAUGGCCGAUACAGAGGGCAGCUACCUGGUGACAGGAUGCAAAUCUCCAAAGUCGGUCUCAGUUCGGAUCGGAGUCUGCAACCCGACUCCGUGAAGUUGGAUUCGCUAGUAAUCGCGCAUCAGCCAUGGCGCGGUGAAUACGUUCCCGGGCCUU
rnacentral:rRNA from 1 species